UCCGUAGGUGAACCUGCGGAAGGAUCAUUACCUAGAGUUGUAGGCUUUGCCUGCUAUCUCUUACCCAUGUCUUUUAAGUACCUUACGUUUCCUCGGCGGGUCCGCCCGCCGAUUGGACAAUUUAAACCAUUUGCAGUUGCAAUCAGCGUCUGAAAAAACUUAAUAGUUACAACUUUCAACAACGGAUCUCUUGGUUCUGGCAUCGAUGAAGAACGCAGCGAAAUGCGAUAAGUAGUGUGAAUUGCAGAAUUCAGUGAAUCAUCGAAUCUUUGAACGCACAUUGCGCCCCUUGGUAUUCCAUGGGGCAUGCCUGUUCGAGCGUCAUUUGUACCUUCAAGCUCUGCUUGGUGUUGGGUGUUUGUCUCGCCUCUGCGUGUAGACUCGCCUCAAAACAAUUGGCAGCCGGCGUAUUGAUUUCGGAGCGCAGUACAUCUCGCGCUUUGCACUCAUAACGACGACGUCCAAAAGUACAUUUUUACACUCUUGACCUCGGAUCAGGUAGGGAUACCCGCUGAACUUAAGCAUAUCAAUAAGCGGAGGA
rnacentral:rRNA from 8 species